rnacentral:tRNA from 1 species
GAGCCCCUGGCUCAAUGGUAGAGCGUUCGACGUAAAUUCCAAAUGCCGCGGGUUCGAGUCCCAUGUGUUUCA